AAAACAUGUCUUUUUGAUAAAAAUUUAAAGUCCGGUCUGCUCACUGAAUUAUUUUAAAGAGCCGCAGUAUAUUGACUGUGCAAAGGUAGCAUAAUCAAUAGUUUUUUAAUUGAAAACUAGAAUGAAAGAUUAGACGAAAAAUUAAUUUUCUUUAUUUUAGUAAAUUUAAUUUUAAAUUUAAGUGAAAAUGCUUAAAUAAAAUUAAAAGACGAGAAGACCCUAUAGAUUUUUAUUAUUGAAAUAAAUUUUUAAAUUUAAUUUAAUAAAAUAAUUUAAUUGGGGCGAUUUUAUAAUAUAAAUAACUUAAUUUUUUAAAACCAUAAAUAAUUGAAUGUUUGAUCUAAAAUUUUUAAAGGAAAGAUUAAAUUACCUUAGGGAUAACAGCGUAAUUUUAUUUAAGAGUUCAUAUCUAUAAUAAAGUUUGCGACCUCGAUGUUGAAUUAAGAUAAUAUAUUGGAGUAGAAAUUAAUAUAAUUAGUCUGUUCGACUAUUAAAUUCUUACGUGAUCUG
rnacentral:rRNA from 1 species